AACAAACGCUGGCGGCGUGUCUUAAGCAUGCAAGUUGAGCGGCAAGGAGGAGGAAUCCUCCCUAGAGCGGCGGACUGGUGAGUAAUGCGUGGGUAAUCUAUCAUAGGCAUGGGGAUAGUCACUAGAAAUAGUGGGUAAUACCGAAUACGUUCCAUGAGGGGAGGACUCAUGGAAGAAAGGGUGCUACGGCACUGGCCUUAGGUGAGCUCGCGUCCCAUUAGCUAGUUGGUGAGGUAAAGGCCCACCAAGGCGAUGAUGGGUAGCCGGCCUGAGAGGGUGUACGGCCACACUGGGACUGAGAUACGGCCCAGACUCCUACGGGAGGCAGCAGCUAAGAAUAUUCCGCAAUGGACGAAAGUCUGACGGAGCGACGCCGCGUGGAUGAAGAAGGCCGAAAGGUUGUAAAGUUCUUUGCUAGGGGAAAUAAGUGAGGGAGGGAAUGCCCUCACGAUGACAAGGACUAGCGAAUAAGCCCCGGCCAACUACGUGCCAGCACG
rnacentral:rRNA from 1 species